UACAGAGGCCCCAAGCAUUACCCGGAAUCACUGGGCGUAAAGGGUGUGUAGGUGGUCAUAUUAGUCGGCUGUUAAAUACCGGGGCUUAACCCCGGAAUCGCGGCCGAAACGGUACGACUAGAGAGCGUAAGAGGUGAAUGGAACUCAUGGUGUAGGGGUGAAAUCCGUUGAUAUCAUGGGGAACACCGAAAGCGAAAGCAAUUCACUGGUACGUUUCUGACACUCAAACACGAAAGCGUGGGUAGCGAACGGG
rnacentral:rRNA from 1 species